GAUGAACGCUAGCGGCAGGCCUAAUACAUGCAAGUCGAACGGGAUCUGAGGGUAGCUUGCUACCCGAUUUGAGAGUGGCGCACGGGUGCGUAACGCGUGAGCAACCUACCCAUAUCAGGGGGAUAGCCCGAAGAAAUUCGGAUUAACACCGCAUAAUAAUACGCUAACACAUGUUGAUGUAUUUAAAUAUUUAUAGGAUAUGGAUGGGCUCGCGUGACAUUAGCUAGUUGGUAAGGUAACGGCUUACCAAGGCGACGAUGUCUAGGGGCUCUGAGAGGAGAAUCCCCCACACUGGUACUGAGACAUGGACCAGACUCCUACGGGAGGCAGCAGUAAGGAAUAUUGGUCAAUGGGCGCAAGCCUGAACCAGCCAUGCCGCGUGCAGGAUGACUGCCCUAUGGGUUGUAAACUGCUUUUGUUAGGGAAUAGACCUUCUUACGUGUAAGGAGCUGAAUGUACCUAAAGAAUAAGGAUCGGCUAACUCCGUGCCAGCCGCCGCGGUAA
rnacentral:rRNA from 1 species